AGUGAAUAGAUACCCCGGUAGUCCACGCUGUAAACGAUGAGUGCUGGACGUUGGCGGGUUUACCUGCCGGUGUCGCAGCUAAACGCGUUAAGCACUCCGCCUGGGGAGUACGGCCGCAAGGUUAAAACUCAAAGGAAUUGACGGGGCCCGCACAAGCGGUGGAGCAUGUGGUUUAAUUCGACGCAACGCGCAGAACCUUACCAGCCCUUGACAUGGGCGGACGGGGUCCAGAGAUGGACUCUUUCUCGCAAGAGACCGCUACACAGGUGCUGCGAUGGCUGUCGUCAGCUCGUGUCGUGAGA
rnacentral:rRNA from 1 species